rnacentral:lncRNA from 1 species
UAAACAGGGGUGAUGGUGACGCCUGUAACCGUUGGUGUUGGAAUGCUUGAGGUUUGAGCAGUAGAGCUUGAUUCCAUUUCUUGAGAGAAGUUAAAGACUUGUUGUUGUUGAGCGUCCAUGGUGAAGGAGAAGAAGAUUGAUGAAGAUGAAGAGCUUUCAGAGAAUGCUUGAGAGAGGUUUAGGGUUUUAGAGUGAGUGAGAGUGAUAAGUGUGUGAAAUGUGAGAAAAGUGUUUAUAUACUCUAAGUAAAACACAUGCAAAACGAC